GAUGAACGCUAGCUACAGGCUUAACACAUGCAAGUCGAGGGACCGGCGCACGGGUGAGUAACACGUAUCCAACCUGCCCUUUACUCGGGGAUAGCCUUUCGAAGGAAAGAUUAAUCAUCACUAUCAAGGAGUGGGAUGCGUUCAAUUAGGUUGUUGGUGAGGUAACGGCGCCCAAAGCCUUCGAUGGAUAGGGGGUCUGGGAGGAAUGUCCCCCACGUUGGAACUGAGACACGUGCCAAACUCGUACGGUAGGAAGCAGUGAGGAAGAUUGGUCAAUGGGCGCUAGCCUGAACCAGCCAAGUAGCGUGAAGGAUGAAUGCUUAUGGGUCGUAAACUUCUUGUAUAUAAGAAUAUGUAUUAUAUGAAUAAGGAUCGGCUAACUACGUGCCAGCAGCCGCGGUAAUAC
rnacentral:rRNA from 1 species